rnacentral:lncRNA from 1 species
GUAAAACUAACUGGAUAAUAUGUUGAUGAUAGCUCUACAGAUGGAUCCAGCCCUAGAUAAAUCUCUGCAUCUUAUUUUUUCCAACUCUGCUUUCCCUUGAUGAACAAUUUCCAACUAUCAUGUGACCCAAGAAUACAAUGAGGAGAAAUUUCAUCAAAAUCAAGGACGAGGAUGUCAGUUUCUGAUGAAAGAUGCAUGGCAAAGUAGCAUCCUAAGGGAGUCAUUUUUAUAUCUCUGUAAAGGAGGUA